rnacentral:siRNA from 1 species
GCGACUAAGGAAUUGUUGUGG